CUGAAGGGCAAACUUCAGAUUGAUGUGGAUGUCGACGGUUACACUGACCCGAACAAUCUAUACUUCGAUAGCGUUAUGAUCUAUGGUGUAAAUCAUUACGUUGACGGUGACGUCACAAUAGAACCUGCUGAUGGGUCGCCAUCGUACAAUGCUGCAAAUGUAGAAUUCACCGCCGAAACGAACGUUCUCCACAUCCGGGAUCUUCAUCUUGAUAUGACGGAGUCCUUCACAAUUCAAUGGGAUGUACAAGCAUGAUAUGUAUAUUUACUCACAACAAAGUAUAUACACAACAUAGCAUGUAGGCCUACACACAAUCUAGGACUUUUCUGGACGCAGAAAAUGUAUCAAGGGGGAGGGGAAAGUGGGGGGGGGGGGGGUUAGCAUUUAAUUUGAAUCUGAAUUUACAAUGAAUAUGCCAAUGGGAUUAAGAUGAGGAAAAGGCAAAAUGAGACCCAAAAAACAUAAGGUUAUCAUCACACUUUGCAAACACGCCCUCUACAUUCAUUAAUUAUCUUAUGAUAAUGGGAAAAGGGAGAUAGAGUUUGUGAGAGGGGGUGACGAUAUAGCAACGGCGAAGAAAAAAAGCAUUUUAAACAAGUUUCAUCAAAAUUUGUUAUGAAAUAAGCAAGUUAUGGACGUUUAGAAAGUCUUGUUUUACUUUCUAUGGGGAUUCUCAAAUUGGCAAUCAUGCUUUAAAAUAGCUGAUUUUGUGGCAACUCUCCAUUUGUUUUUUUACACAAUUUUUCAGAUAUUCCCCUAUAAUCUUUAAAAUUGCAUAUUGCCUCAUUCUGCGAAAAUACUUACGUCAUGGGAAAAUAUAGUUCACACCACAUAUGCCAAGGCCAGGAGGAAAUGAUGUGAAACCUGUAAAAUAAAGGGGAAAAUCUGAAAAUAUGUGUCCAAAACAAACGAAGGGUUGUCCAAAAAAAAAAAUCUGCAUUUUUGAAGCAUGUUUGACAAUUUAAGGAUCCCCAUAGAAAGUACAACAAGACUUUUCAAACUUCCAUAACUCGCUUAUUCUAUAAUCGAUUUUGAUCAAACUUUUUUUAAAAUGUUCCUCUCAUUUUACUCUUUCCAAUAAGGUUGCUUCUCUUCUUGGGUUUUGGUUUCCUUUAAAGAGGGAAUGAACACUAUGUAGUUUCUCAUUGGCUGUGUGUUCUUAAUAGCGAGUCUUAAAAUAUACCUUGUUGAAAUAAAUAGUAAUAACACAAAAGAAUCGAUUAGUCUAUAUUUUUUCCAGAGAAGCUAAAAUGUUUUGGGAGGAAAAGUACUAAUUUUGCUACAUUGUAACAUAAUUAGCGUAGUAUGAAUGUUUUAGCAGUGAAUUAGUGUAUUAUCAUUUAUGUGGGUCUAUAUUACAAGACUACACCGCUCCGAAUGUUGCAUUAUGGGUAAUGAACCUGUCCAGAUAUGAGUAGUUCAUGACUUAAGGUGGGGCUGUUAAGCUUUAGGCUGCUGGUUCGUUUGCCCUUUAAAGAAAACGCUUUAACAAAUAGUGGUAAUUUUGACACUUGUGAUCUUUUCACGUAUUAUUUUAUCACAUCACAUUUUUAUUUUCAUUUCUUUCUUUCUCCUUUUCCUUCAUAUUUUUUUUAAUCGUUUUUGGUCUCUAUGCCUCAUUUCCCCUCCUAUGAUACGCAACUUGCGUGUAGUAGAAGAUUCAAUAACUCUGAAAUAUCAUGUUUAUUCUCACUGCGAAAUAUUAUGAAAUGUUGUUAUUGUCCAUACUGAGCUGGCUAUCGACUUGAUAACUAUUAAACUGA